UACGUAGGUGGCGAGCGUUGUCCGGAUUUACUGGGCGUAAAGGGCGUGCAGGCGGUCUGCUAAGUCUAGGGUGAAAGCUCCCGGCUCAACUGGGAGAGGUCCUUGGAUACUGGCGGACUUGAGGGAGGCAGAGGAGAAUAGAAUUCCCGGUGUAGUGGUGAUAUGCGUAGAUAUCGGGAGGAAUACCAGUGGCGAAGGCGGUUCUCUGGGCCUUUCCUGACGCUGAGACGCGAAAGCGUGGGGAGCAAACCGG
rnacentral:misc_RNA from 1 species